UGAUUUUACGCAAAGACGAGUUUAUUGAGGCUCCCUGAAACGUGGCUAAACGGGUCUUGUUGGAUAAAGAUUUUGACGUAUAAUCUUAGAAAGUAUAUGAAUUAAACUGUUUGAGUUUUCUUUUAAAGAUGAGAGAGAUGUGACAGUUCGAAUCGUUUUUCUUUAGACAUAUCAAGUAUAUUAUCUAUAUACAGCAAUGUUAGCAGUUGAACUGGUGAAUUGUUUAGCAAUUUUCUCAUAGUAUAUCCAAUCAAAUUUAUUAUCUACAUCAAUGUGUAUCAAGAAACUCUUUUUGGUUUGAAUCAGAAAAAAGUAGUCCAUCAAAACUGCAAUAUUUUAAUGUUUGGAAGAAUGACUUGUAAUUUUAUACCUGAAUAUAAUUUCAUUUAAAUCAAACUGUGGACCUGGUAUAAACUCUAUAAAUCAUUCGCUCUCAUAAAAAAAUUAGCUGCGAACAUGGGUGAAAAUAUUCAAAAUCGAGUUGGCAAUUCGACAAAUCGUCAUCAAAAUGGCACAAUUAAUUUACAUCCUUUGCAUCGAGCUGUUUUUGUUCACGGAUUUGGAGGAUCAUCUAAAAGUGCCGAAGAUCAAGCACACGCCCUCAGCACCUAUAUUUAUAACCACUCGCCUCUUGAUUCUUCGAAGAUAACGGUCGUGCUCAAUAAAGCAAAGAGUUUCCAUGAAUCUUGCGCUAAUGCAACAAAUUGUCUAUUGGGAUGUAUAUGGGAAAUUGGAAGUCGCGUGCAACGUUCAGAUAGCAACUGCGAUGAAUGUGUUGAACUCGUGGUGUUUUGCCACAGUAACGGUGCAAAACCGGUUCAGAAGGCUCUCGCUCCUGACCGUCUUACAGAAUUAUGCGAUGUUCUGAAUAUAUCUCAAAUGGGAAUAGCCAACUUUAUGGGAAGGCUUAGAAAAUUGUUGUUAUUUCGUUUGGAGGAGUGUGUUACAUUUCUGAUGACUGCGCUAAGGUGGUCAUGAAUUUUUGUUCAACGAGCGACAAUUUCAGCAAAUUUUGUCAUCAUCUGAAAGUUGGAGAUCAACCGAAAGAUGGCGAGACUGGUCGGAAAAUUUAUGUAAGAGAUCCUGCAACACCCUCGGAAAUAAAAGAGGUUCCUGCUGGAAUAUGGGGAUCAAUCGCAGCAGUUAGUUGUAUUUCGGGGGCUGGCGUAGACUUAGCUGCCAAAUCAUCUGAAACAUCGGAUGCACUAAGACAUCCACACUAUCUAGAAAACAUUCUGAAGAAUAGAGAAAUGAUCAUGUAUAUAAGAGAAGUACUUGGAUUGAGUGAGAGACCAAAUUAAAAGACUGCAAUUACAACAGCUGAUCUUCAGAGCUGCUUCAAUGUGACUCAUUAACACAAAAUUUUAUAAAAACUUCAAAAUUAAAUACUCCGAGAUUUCAUAUGGAAUGUGCUAACAGCUAUCAAUUCAUGAUUGGAAUUUUUUUAUAUGCUAUUUAUCCGCUUCCAUUCUUGACUGACGAAGAUGUAGAAGACAAAGUAUUGAUGUAAACAAUUUUUAUAAAUUAUCUU